rnacentral:lncRNA from 1 species
UGCAUGCAGAAAACACAUAAGUAUUCAACAAAAAAAAAUCACCUCAAAUUGUGGCAUAAAGGACCAGUCAACAGCCUGCAUAUAGGGGCAGUGAAGGGAAAUUUCCAUCUGCAAUUGGUCUCCCCCAGUGCGGGAGAAGUGUUGGAUAUCAUUGCAUGUACAAUAAAGAUGUCUGAAUUCAUUGAUCACUGUCUGACCAGCAAGCAUAACAAUCCUGUAGCAAUUUAUUGCAAGUUGGAAGGGGGAGGGAUUCAAGAUUGUCUAAGAAGAAAUCUGUGCAUGUAG